AUUGAACGCUGGCGGCAGGCCUAACACAUGCAAGUCGAGCGGAUGAAGGGAGCUUGCUCCUGGAUUCAGCGGCGGACGGGUGAGUAAUGCCUAGGAAUCUGCCUGGUAGUGGGGGAUAACGUCCGGAAACGGGCGCUAAUACCGCAUACGUCCUGAGGGAGAAAGUGGGGAUUUUUGGACCCUACGCCAUCCGAUUAGCCUAGGUCGGAUUAGCUAGUUGGUGGGGUAAAGGCCUACCAAGGCGACGAUCCGUAACUGGUCUGAGAGGAUGAUCAGUCACACUGGAACUGAGACACGGUCCAGACUCCUACGGGAGGCAGCAGUGGGGAAUAUUGGACAAUGGGCGAAAGCCUGAUCCAGCCAUGCCGCGUGUGUGAAGAAGGUCUUCGGAUUGUAAAGCACUUUAAGUUGGGAGGAAGGGCAGUAAGUUAAUACCUUGCUGUUUUGACGUUACCAACAGAAUAAGCACCGGCUAACUUCGUG
rnacentral:rRNA from 1 species